GGUAAAAUGGCUGAGAUUUUAGGCGAUAAAUUGUAAAUUUAUUCACGAAUUAUAAUUCUUUUACCA
rnacentral:tRNA from 1 species